rnacentral:rRNA from 1 species
GAUGAACGCUGGCGGCGUGCCUAACACAUGCAAGUCGAGCGAACACUUCGGGAUUUGUCGCCCACGGGUUCUUCACGCGUGGGGAGCUUCCCUUGUGUUCGACCUACCAGUUAGAAUGGACUACUAAUACCGGAUGAUGGCUAAAAACCAACGAUUUAUUGCACCAGGAUGAGCACUCGUAGGAUUAGCUAGUGCGUGUGGUAAAGGCAUCCCAAGGCGUGCAUCCGUAGCUGGUAUGAGAGAAUGAUCAGCCACUCUUGGACUGAGACACGGCCCAGACUCCUACGCGAGGGAGCAGUGGGGAAUAUUGGAAAACGGGCGAAAGGAUGAUGCAGCACGGACGGGUAAGUGAUGAAGUUCUGAGGGUUGUAAAGUUUUUUUAACCGGGAUGAUAAUGACAGUACCGGGUGAAUAAGCCCCGGCUAACUUCGUG